UAGCUAGUUGGUGAGGUAAUGGCCCACCAAGGCGACGAUCGGUAGCCGGACUGAGAGGUUGAACGGCCACAUUGGGACUGAGACACGGCCCAGACUCCUACGGGAGGCAGCAGUGGGGAAUAUUGCACAAUGGGGGAAACCCUGAUGCAGCGACGCCGCGUGGAGGAAGAAGGUCUUCGGAUUGUAAACUCCUGUUGUUGAGGAAGAUAAUGACGGUACUCAACAAGGAAGUGACGGCUAACUACGUGCCAGCAGCCGCGGUAAAACGUAGGUCACAAGCGUUGUCCGGAAUUACUGGGUGUAAAGGGAGCGCAGGCGGGCGAUCAAGUUGGAAGCGAAAUCCAUGGGCUCAACCCAUGAACUGCUUUCAAAACUGAUUGUCUUGAGUAGUGCAGAGGUAGGCGGAAUUCCCGGUGUAGCGGUGGAAUGCGUAGAUAUCGGGAGGAACACCAGUGGCGAAGGCGGCCUACUGGGCACCAACUGACGCUGAGGCUCGAAAGUGUGGGUAGCAAACAGGAUUAGAUACCCUGGUAGUCCACACCGUAAACGAUGAUUACUAGGUGUUGGAGGAUUGACCCCUUCAGUGCCGCAGUUAACACAAUAAGUAAUCCACCUGGGGAGUACGACCGCAAGGUUGAAACUCAAAGGAAUUGACGGGGGCCCGCACAAGCAGUGGAGUAUGUGGUUUAAUUCGACGCAACGCGAGGAACCUUACCAAGUCUUGACAUCCUGCGACGAUGCUAGAAAUAGUAUUUUCCUUCGGGACGCAGAGACAGGUGGUGCAUGGUUGUCGUCAGCUCGUGUCGUGAGAUGUUGGGUUAAGUCCCGCAACGAGCGCAACCCUUAUGGUCAGUUACUACGCAAGAGGACUCUGGCCAGACUGCCGUUGACAAAACGGAGGAAGGUGGGGAUGACGUCAAAUCAUCAUGCCCUUUAUGACUUGGGCUACACACGUACUACAAUGGCGUUAAACAAAGAGAAGCAAGACCGCGAGGUGGAGCAAAACUCAGAAACAACGUCCCAGUUCGGACUGCAGGCUGCAACUCGCCUGCACGAAGUCGGAAUUGCUAGUAAUCGUGGAUCAGCAUGCCACGGUGAAUACGUUCCCGGGCCUUGUACACACCGCCCGUCACACCAUGAGAGCCGGGGGGACCCGAAGUCGGUAGUCUAACCGCAAGGAGGACGCCGCCGAAGGUAAAACUGGUGAUUGGGGUGAAGUCGUAACAAGGUAG
rnacentral:rRNA from 1 species